rnacentral:lncRNA from 1 species
GGAGGUGAACAGGGAGUUGCAGAUGGGCAGCUUCCAGGCUGUCCCUGCUGGGAUUCUGGUCCCACUUUUUUUGGGGUGGUGAGGAAUAUUUACCUCAUCUUUCUCCUUCCAGCAGAUUUAUCCAGCUACACCCCAAAGCACUCUGUGAAAUUCAGCGAGUGGCAGGAGCAGAAGUAUGAGGGUCCUGCUGCAGUGGGAUCUCUCCCAAAGGAAGCUGAUUCCCAUGGGAACCAAGUCAUGCUCACCCCGGCGGAGAAGGGCGGACUCUCGGAUUUCAGCAGCGAGCCCGCGCUCUAUUUCUGAGGCUGCCGGGCAGGACGGGGCAGUGCCGCCGCCGCGUCCGCACGGGAACCGCCACCCAAACCCGCGGCUUUCCCGGAUCCUGCUGCCAAGGGUGGACCGGAUGCUCUCGGGCGUCUUCGGAGAAUAUUUGCACUGGAUUUUGGGACCGAAUUACUGCUUUCAAGGCGUAUGAUUUAUUCUGCCUGUGGCCUUGCGUAUUCCUUGUUCAAGAUCAGCUGCUGGUUAGGCAAGUGUGGGAAGGACAUCUGUAAUCCUCAGAUGGAUGUUGAUUUUUCUCAGUGCUUGUCUGAGUCCAGGCACUGUGCAGGGUGUGGACAGCUUUUGCAACCCUUCUCCCCAGUGGAGGAUGGUUCUGCAGUGGAGCACUGGGCAGGUAGGUGGGUGUGAUUUGACACAUUUGGUGUCAGUUUGGAAAACCACUGAAGGUUCAUGGUUUGCCCUUGGCAUGUUUCCAGCUCUGGUUUCGCUGAAACAUCAUGGAAUUCAUGUGCCAGUUACAUGUUUGUGGAGUUCACUGAACACCCUGAGGGAGGGAUGGGAAGAGCAAUGAAUGCCUUUAGCUUUAGAUGUUAUUUCUGCACCAAUCAGUGAGAAGUGUCCAGACUGUCUCAAGCCUCUUGAAGAUUCCCAAACAUUGGCCAUAGCUUUCGUCUGUCCUUCCCACCUCUGGCAUCCAGUCUCUGGGAGUUGCUGGUUGUGCUCCAGUUUGCCAGUUCCUCUUGUUGCUUUGUUCCAAAUCUGAUUGAUCUCUCUUGGUUACAUCCUUCAAGCCACACUUGCUCUGCUCCUCUAGUCAAAGCACAGGAGGGACGUUUCACUCCUUCUGCAGAACUUGAACAAGGAAUGUGGGUUAUUUUUGUUUUUUCUAGGAUUUUUAUAGUUCUAUUGUAAUUGUUUAAUGCAGCCAAUAUGCAAAGGAAUCUGCUAGAAUCUUCCAUUCAAGUUUUCUACUACUGUAAACUCAGGGUCAAAAUUGCACUCUGGAACAGAUGGAGCAGUGCUGCUAAUGUGAUUUGUACUCUGGGAUUAAAAGAGAUGUGGUGAGAACAGAUCUGGCCUCUUUGGGCUUUAUGGAAUGAGUGGGGCGUCAUCCAAACGAACAGGCUGGUAUCUUUGAUUAAAUUUGAUGGUUACUGGUUUGUCUAUUUUGGAUGAUGAAUGUCUGCUCAAGUGACAUUGCUCUGUGGACUGAAAAUGAUCUGCAUACCUUGCACUUGGUUUGGUGUCUUGUUGUAGCAGCAAGGGAAGGUUGUUCUACUGAAAACCACAGGAUUAAAUGUUAGGACAUACCUAUUUGUAGCCGUUCCCUUCUGCCCUGGGUGCCUAAAUACUUUUGGAAAGAUAAGGAAAAAAAAAAAAAAAAAAGAGCUACUCAGUAGUUUUAGAUGUUGGCUGGGGGGCCACAAAGAAGCGUUUUGCACCUCCUUGUCCAUUCCAAGCUAAUCUGAGAUCAUCUGCUGGUGUGACUUGCCGGGAGCAAGAUGUGUCUGCAGUGCAUCUGCCUGGGACUUGACACAAGGACCAUGGAGUUCCAUGUGUUGAUGCUUCUCCUGUUAAUAAAAUCAGGGCAAGGUGCUGAGACUGGUGUAGA